CCUUAUGGUGGCUGUACGCGGGAGCGCUUUCGAGUGCGCCGGGUUCGGGUGAUUGGCUCGGUCUUCCACACCUGCGUGCAGCUGCCACCCUC
rnacentral:antisense_RNA from 1 species